GACGAACGCUGGCGGCGUGCUUAACACAUGCAAGUCGAACGGCAAGGCCCUGCUUUCUUGCGGUUCUGGAGUGGCGAUCGGGUGCGUAACAGGUGAGUAACCUGCCCUACACUUUCGUAUAACUUCAGGAAACUGGGGCUAAUCCCGUAUCGGAGCUCCUGCUGCAUGGUGGGGGUUGGAUCGUUUCGGCGGUUGGGGAUGGACUCGCGGGUUAUCAGCUUGUUGGUUGGGGAGUGGCUUACCCAGGCAUUGGCUGGUCGCCGGCAUGGGAGGGUGACCGGCGACAAGGGGACUGAGGGACGGAGCAGUGUGGAACAGGAGGCAGCAGGGGGGAAUAUGGUACAAUGGGAGGAAGCCGGAGGAAGAAACGUCGCGGGCGGGAUGACGGCCUGCGGGUUGUAAAAAGCUGUAGCCUGUGACGAAGCGGGAGUGACGGUAAUGGGUAAAUAAGCACCGGCUAACUACGUG
rnacentral:rRNA from 1 species